ensembl:lncRNA
GGGCCAAUUCCACUUGCUCUCCAUUGCCUCCGAAUACCACCCCCAACCCCCCUCUCCCCCCAACAAACACAGAAGACCCAACUCUGGCGCCAUCUGCAAAAGGACAAGCCAGAGUUCCCUUUGAAGCAACCUAGCAGCUGAGAGGAAGAAAUCUUCGAAAGGACCAUCAGGGGACCAAAGCGAUAGGCAGGUACAUACCUUAGGAACAAGGCAUCCCAAACUGCAACCCAGAGAAACUCACAGGCUCUAGUGAGAAAGAAUCGUCUUCUGUUUUUGUCAUUCCUUCUCAGCCUUGUCUCUUCAGAAAACACCCAUCACCCUUUCCUUGGCGCCUAAACUGUGAUCAGCGUUGGCCUUAGGUGGUCUGGGAAAACGUCAAGGGUACCUACGUGGACUUCCUUAAGUUUGCUCUCCCACCCUUCUACUCUGUAAGUGCAUUUGAUUAAAGCGGCCUCCAUCCCCAGGGUUAAAAUCCAGACGGCACAUUGGGACUGGGAACUUACGAGAUCACCACCACUUUCGUUGUCAAUCAGCGCCCCCAGACAGCUGGAAACUGGAUGUGGUGACUCAACUUGGACCACGCAGAUGACAACAGGCCCUAAGAUCGAGCAGAGCUGCUAGAUGGAAAGAGCUUGAGUCACAGAAUUACCCUGUGGAGCAGAGCCACCAACCAGCUGGGAACACCACACACUGGACAGUUUUAUGAGCAAGAAAUAAACUUCCUUAUUCAUGCCACUAAAUGAUUAGGUCUUGUUACAAUUUAAUGCACCCUAAUACAGCAAUGUUGAGCUAAGCCUGUUGGUAAAUGGCACUGAAACCCUUUCCUAUCGAAACAUCCAUGGCACUCCAGAACAGUGACUCUGCCAACAAGCAGGAGGAGAGAGCACACACGUGUUGAAGGCCACAUGUCCAAUUUGAAGUCUGCUGUCGAAAGGGAUUUAGCCUAAAAUAUUUCCCUCUUUGCCUGCAUGAAGAGCUUGAUUGAUUGAUUGACUGACCACCGUGGUCCAGAUGCUGAUCUAGAUGCUCCAGAUACAUUACCUCCAGUCUUCACAAAUCCCAAGGCACCUGGCGGAGGGGAAAUGGUGGCUUGGAGAGGCAUGUAAUUUGUCUAAGAUCACCCAGCUGAUAAACAGCAGAGACAGACGUGUCUAGUUUCAACCUCCCUUCUCAUACCACUGCCUCCUGGCUCGGGGGAGGAAAGGCAGGGGCUGAGAUUUUGAUGGAAAACUAGAGGCUGUCCAGGAGAGGAGGCCACUUGGCUCUGGACCUCAAGGGAUAGGUUUCUGUGGUCAAGAGCAUCAAGAAGCAGAAGGUUGGCCAUAGUGUGGUCAGUGGGUCACUCCGUGAAUAACAGGCGGAAUAUUCCAAGCAUUGUUGUCAUUAGCACUAUGAGUAGCCUGCAAAGAGCAGAUAUGAAAUUAUUACAUUUGCCGAGUCCUUGAGAUGUGUCAGGAAGUGUUCCAAAUACUUUACAUGGAUUUACGUGGCUUCUAUCAGGUAACCUCGCAAAAACCCUUUGAAUCCAUCCCAGUAUUGGAAUUGCUCCCCUGGAAGCCAGAUGACAGCAGCCGGCAAUCAGGGACCACUGCAUGGCCCCCGAGGAAUGCUCAGCAGGGACUGGCUGGGGGCAGGUUUUCCAUCGUCCAUCGUCACAUCUUCGGAAACUGCCACCCCUGAACGACAGCAGUUUCGGUUCAGGAGUCACUUCAUUCUGAAACAAUUGCCAAGCCCAGGGGUACCCAGCCUGUGGCUUUGGAUAGGAGUGAGUGACGUGCUUCCUCCAAUUUAUGCCCCUCCCUUUGAGAAAACGCUCAUCGCUAGGUGAUGUUAACCUCUUGUGUCAUCCUCUAUUUUUAGCCUCCAUGAGAGUGACGAAUCAGGUUAUAAUCUGACAGUGUGCUUAAAGACAUAUUAGCAGCAAAUUAAAUUACCGUGCCUCAGACAUCACAUACAUUUGUAAAGAAUAGAGCAAGAAAGCAUUAUCGCUGCCCAAUUUCAAUCUACACCCAUUAUAACCUAAUUUUUUAGAAAAAUGACCCAUUAUACAUCAUAAGAUUGAAUAUGACUCUAAGAUUAACUAAGCUUCCUCCAAUUUUAAUCAAGCCUCACAUACCAGGCAGCUCAUUCCAAAGCUGGAGAUUGAAACGAUUUCUCUUGCAUAUUAUCAUUAUGCUGUGAGCUCAGACACUGCUGGUAGAGGCAAGACUCUCAAUCAUUCAGAUAUAUAUGGAGCACUGACUCGCUGUCAGGCCCUGUCUUGGGCACUGGGAAGACAAGGGUGAAGAAAAGCAAGACGUAAGUCGUACACUUGUGGAGCUGGUUUAGUGAGUAGAUAGAUGUUAAGUGAAUAAUCAAAUAAAUAAAUGGUUGGGAUUGAGUGCUGAAAUUACAUUAGGUCUCUGAUUCUGUCUCCCUCUCCAUCCAUCUCUUAGCUCUUCUGUCUUCUAUUUGGCUUCCUCUUCAGCAUCCUCUCUCUCUGAGACUAAGAUGGCCAUUUGCAGCUCCUGACGACUGUAGUGCUAAUGAAAGAUGAUCUCAGAGCCCCAGCAAAGUCCCAAGGAGGAUGCUGAUUGGCCUGGUUCAGAUCACAUGCUCAUUGCUGUACUGGCACAGAGACUGGGAAAGGAAUAUUCUGAUUGGCCAGCCCAGGUCACAUGCGCACUCUCAGGGUGGGGAAGGGAAGGGCAGUGGUAGUCUCUUUGGCACCAUACAGCCAAAGGAGAGGGUAGUUUCCCAAAUGAAAGCAUGAUGGGCCAAUGAACAUCCACCAAAUGUCAGAAAGUUAAUGUUUAAAGUUAGUCAGGUAAAGAAGAAAAGAAGUAGCAUUGUAAAUUAUGCUUUUUCUGUGUUUCUUCGGACUCCUCUAAGGGUCAGGCACUGAGGCAUACAGCAUGGAAGAGAGAGAGGAUUCCAGAACCAGACAGACAUGGGCUCAAAUUCUGCCUCCAUUACUUCUGAGUGGGUAUGUGGCCUUGGGCAAGUCAUCUAACCUUCUCUAAGAGAGUUUCUCCACUGUUUGCAUGGAUAAUAAUUCCGCCCCCAUAGGAUUGUUGGGGAGAUGAAAUGAUAUAAUGUAAACGAAGAAGCACGGUGUUGGGAGAAUUGGAAGUGCUUGGUGGAUGGUGGACAUUUAGAAAUCCCCCUGAAGUAUCAUAUUGUGUAACAAACAUUGUAGACAGGCUCCUAACUUGUGAGGUAGAGGGAGGGAAU